CCUACGGGUGGCAGCAGUGGGGAAUAUUGCACAAUGGGGGAAACCCUGAUGCAGCGACGCCGCGUGAGUGAAGAAGGAAUUCUUUACGUAAAGCUCUAUCAGCAGGGAAGAAAAUUACGGUACCUGAGUAAGAAGCCCCGGCUAACUCCGUGCCAGCAGCCGCGGUCAUACGUAGGGGGCAAGCGUUAUCCGGAUUUACUGGGUGUAAAGGGAGCGUAGACGGUGGGCCAAGUCUGGAGUGAAAUGCCGCGGCUUAACUGCGGAACUGCUUUGGAAACUGGCGAACUAGAGUGCGGGAGGGGUAAGCGGAAUUCCUAGUGUAGCGGUGAAAUGCGUAGAUAUGAGGAGGAACACCGGUGGCGAAGGCGGCUUACGGGACCGUAACUGACGUUGAGGUUCGAAAGCGUGGGGAGCAAACAGGAUUAGAUACCCGUGUAGUC
rnacentral:rRNA from 1 species